rnacentral:rRNA from 1 species
AUUGAACGCUGGCGGCAUGCCUAACACAUGCAAGUCGAGCGAGCGGCGGACGGGUGAGUAAUGUCUGGGAAACUGCCUGAUGGAGGGGGAUAACUACUGGAAACGGUAGCUAAUACCGCAUACCAUCAGCUGUGCCCAGAUGGGCUUAGCUAGUAGGUGGGGUAACGGCUCACCUAGGCGACGAUCCCUAGCUGGUCUGCGAGGAUGACCAGCCACACUGGAACGGAGACAGGGUCCAGACUCCUACGGGAGGCAGCAGGGGGGAAUAUUGCACAAUGGGCGAAAGCCUGAGGCAGCAAUGCCGCGUGUGUGAGGAAGGCCUUCGGGUUGUAAAGCACUUUCAGCGGGGAGGCGGUACCCGCAGAGAAAGCACCGGCUAACUCCGUGCCAGCAGCCGCGGUAAUUC